rnacentral:ncRNA from 1 species
UCUUAUCAAGAGUGACUGAGGGAACAGGCCCUGUGAAGUCCGGCAACCUGCACUGUAUGCAAGGUGCCAAAUCCUGCGGUUUUACCGAAAGAUGAG